GCAGUCUUUCCCCUCUGAUGAAUGGAUAAUUGAUUUUUUUUUAUUGAUUGAUUUGGAAAAAAGGGGGGGGGGGUAUUUGUUUUUUUGUUUGUUUGCUUGUUAAAGGGGUCUAUAUUAUUAUGUUACCGGAGAAGUUUCAUGUUUAGUUUGGAAAGUUUUUCUUUUAUUUUAGAUACAGCGCGCGCGCAAGAUUGAGGAGACAUCACGUGACGCGGGUUUAUAUUAAGAAAAACUUAGUCUUUUUAUUUCUUUUUAGGUCGGGACGUUUGAACAGACAACAUGUAUAGAGAUGGAAUGUACACAAUGUAAUUUCUUUUGUCAUUGUAGGAAAUUGACAUUUUGAUCACAGUUCACCAGCAGUGCAUGUUUUGGAUUUAAUCGAUCCGGUGUAACUUUAAAACACAUUUAAUGAUUAUUUUUUGAUAAUGUCCAUUUUUCAGCACCUGUUUGUAACACAGAUUAGUAUUUCAAUCUCGGAGCGGACAUUUUAUUGUAGGUUUUUACUGAGAUUGACGGACCUAGCAAGCGAUUUUUACGGCAUUGCCAUUUCUUUUUUCUAGGAAAAGUCUUGAGAGAUAUCUGCAAAAAGUUUUUUUAUGAACCUUCAGUACAUGUAUGCCCUGCUGACUGCAAAUUUUCAGGUCGAUUGGACUUGUAGUUUCAGAGAAUAUGUGGAUUUUUUUUCAGAAGAGACGUAAGAACAAUAAUAAAAUAAAAAUUUUCUUGAAUAAUUGAGAGUUUGUUCCUUCAAUAAACUGUCAUAAAUAAACAGUCAUACAUAUUGAUUGAUUGAUUAGUUGGUUGAUUGAUUGGUUGGUUGGUUGGUUGGUUGGUUUGUUGGUUGGUUGAUUAAACACGUUUGAUAGGGUCACUUAGAACAAGGGAAAAAAACCUCAAGAGACCUUGCAUCCCGUAUUAAACGCAUGACACGGAAACAUACAUUAAGUGAUUGAUUGGUUGGUUGGUUGGUUAAACACGUUGGUUAAACAUGUUGGUUUAACACGUUGGUUAAACACGUUGGCUGGUUAAACACGUUUGAUAGGCUCAAUUUAAACAAGCGAAAAAAAACCAUCUUGGAUCCCGUAUUUAACACAUGAAACGGAAACAUGCAUUGAUUUAUUUAUUGGUUGGUUGGUUGGUUGGUUAAACACGUUGGUUAAACAUGUUGGUUAAACAUGUUGGUUAAACACGUAGUUUAAACACGUUGGCUGGUUAAACACGUUUGAUAGGCUCAAUUUUAACAAGCGAAAAAAAACCAUCUUGGAUCCCGUAUUUAACACAUGAAACGGAAACAUGCAUUGAUUGAUUGAUUGGUUGGUUGGUUGGUUGGUUGGUUGGUUGGUUGGUUGGUUAAACACGUUGGUUAAACACACGUUGGUUAAAACACGUUGGCUGGUUAAACAGAUUGGAUAGGCUCAAAAUCUUGGAUCCCGUAUUUAACACAUGAAACGGAAACAUGCAUUGAUUGAUUGAUUGAUUGAUUGGUUGGUUGGUUGGUUGGUUAAACACGUUGGUUAAACAUGUUGGUUAAACACGUUGGUUAAACAUAUUGGUUAAACACGUUGGCUGGUUAAACACGUUAGAUAGGCUCAAUUUAAACAAGCGAAAAAAAAAAACAUCUUGGAUCCCGUAUUUAACACAUGAAACGGAAACAUGCAUUGAUUGAUUGAUUGAUUGGUUGGGUUGGU
rnacentral:lncRNA from 1 species